AGGAUGAACGCUGGCGGCGUGCCUAACACAUGCAAGUCGAACGCGCUUUCGGGCUUCGGUGCGAGAGCGAGUGGCGGACGGGUGAGUAACACAUGGGUACCUACCUUGGAGUGAGGGAUACCGGCGAGAAAUCGCCGACAAUACCGCAUAGGCUUCUUCACAAGGGAAGCAAAGUGACGCGAGUCACGCUUUGAGAUGGGCCUGUGGCCGAUUAGCUAGUUGGGGGGGUAACGGCUUCCCAAGGCGACGAUCGGUAGCUGGUCUGAGAGGACGAUCAGCCACACUGGGAUUGAGAACGGCCCAGACUCCUACGGGGGGCAGCAGUGAGGAAUUUUCCGCAAUGGAGGCAACUCUGACGGAGCAACGCCGCGUGCAGGAGGAAGGUUUUCGGAUCGUAAACUGACUUUUCUCGGGGACGAGCAAGGACGGUACCCGAGGAAGAAGCCCCGGCUAACUACGCGCCAGCAGCCGC
rnacentral:rRNA from 1 species